GCCUGGGUGGCUCAGUCAGUUAAACAUCUGACUUUGGCUCAGGUCAUGAUCUUGCAGUUCAUGGGUUCAAGCCCCACCUCAGGCG
rnacentral:tRNA from 1 species